rnacentral:tRNA from 1 species
GGAUCGGUAGCUCAAUGGUAGAGCAGAGGACUCAUAAUCCUUUGGUUACAGGUUCGAGUCCUGUCCGAUCCA